UAACUUUGCCUUAUUCCAACGGAGUAUCUGCCAUUGGGUAACGACGUACUUGGAGCGAUUCCGUCUGGAACAGUUCUGAAUUCCCACAUUGUGGCUGAAACUGAUGGUUCAAUGAUUUUUCUGUGAACCUGGAAGGAAGAUUAACUUCCUUCCAGUGAAGUGACAGGAAAUACAUAAAUUUCACCUUUUACCACUAGUGAAAAUGCUACUCACAGGGAAACUCCUAAAAUGUUGCCACAUUAAAGAAUUUUCUUCUUUAAAAAACUACAAUGUUCUGACACAGAAGAAAGUUACUGCAUUUGCUUUAAGUAGCCUAUUUUCUUCUUGUUGAUUCUAGUUCGAGAACUUUCUUCUUUGCUUGUUAAUUUUCUUGUCAUUCUCGUUUCUUCCACUUCUGCAGACUCGGAACAGGACAAAAUUUCUAAAGAAGGGAACGAGAUGAAGCAGAAUAUCCUUUCUCAUCUAAACGUCCAGAACAUUGUGACGCUAAUGUUGAUGAUUUUGAGCCAUGUUCAAUGCUGCAUUCAACACCGGGAAGAACUCAAAUGCGAGGCCGAUCGAUUUGUGCAGUGCUGACGGAUGGCAUUGUAUUAUGUGGAUUGCUGCUGGAUGAUGUUUCACAUUCAGCAAGUCCGUCCCCAAUGUGAGCAUUAUCUGGGAUUUCAGCCAUAUUCAAAAGCCAGAUACCGGAUGCUCGAAAGCCAAUGACUGCGUUUCCAGCAGUGGCUACCUUCAUCCAGGCCUAGCAAACAAUUGGGCAUAAUGAUAGCUUUGUGAACGAACUGACGUGUCUUCUCACAAUCCCUGCUACGUCUUCAUAAAAGUGAAUCUUCAGAGGCUUUAGGAAAGACCUGUCUCUUCGCUGCAACCAAUGAGUUGUGUGUAAGGCAAACAUAAAAUAAAGACAGUCUACGGGCAACAGAGUGCUAAAGCAUUUCAUUGCCUUUGCGGUGCAAAGAGUGUCCAUCUGCUGCAAAUACAGCAGGGUGUUUAGAACGUAGUUUGAAGUACGUGAUGUGCUGUUUAAGAAGCCAAAGAAAAAAUCUCAAGAGUCAAUAUAACUACUGUUCCUUGUGCUUCCAGGCGGAAUAUUCUAUUUUACUGUCAUGUUGUGGAUCUGUUCGAUUUGAAUUUGAAGAUGGCAGUCUUCUGGGUUGUUGCGCCAUGUAGUCUGGUAGAAGUUUACCGACGUUUCAGAGGUCCUUGCUGCCUCCAUCAUCAGGGUGAUCGUAAUUAUCAUUAUUAUUAUUUAUUACAUGUUGGCAUGACACUCCUGGUGAGAUGAUUGUAGAUUACUUGUAACUAACCAAGAUUAUUUAUUCGUAAUCAUAAUUUUUAUGAAAUACUUUUCGCCGUAUCAUUGGUUGACUUAGCCCUUGAUAGAUUGUUAAUUUGACGCUGUUAGUGACACAAGACAAGAGAACAGUGAAUGGAAUGAGGACUCUAUAACUUUUAUGAAGUAUAAAAACACGAUGUAAACAGUUAUUUUUAUCAUAAAGUAGUACUAGUGUGUAAGUACCAUGCAUUUUUAAUCAUGGUUCUAGAUGCAGCUUUUGUGCAGGCUUCAAGCUGCAACGUCUGCUGUAUUUUUCGUAAAAAUACCUGUAAGGGCCCUGGAUUUAGUGAGGAAGCAAUGCCGAAGAGAAAAAUUCCCUGCCUUUUCUAAUGACUUUACCCCGCAUCGUCCGGCCUGCAGCCGGUCUGUUUACUGAUUGCUAUAUAUCUUUAUACAGAGUGAUUCAAAAGGUUAGGGCCAAACUGAAGGAGCGUAUAGAGGGACUCAGAGAGAACAACUUUCGAAUAUAUAUCAAUCCUUCCAUAUCUAUUGAAAGUAGUGAAGAACAGUUUACCUCAGGCUGAAACAUGUCUGAUUUAUAUUUUUGUGCUACCAAGUUUGAAUCUCGACCUACAGAACGCUAAUUCUAAUUAAUUUUAAUGUAACUAAAUCUAUGUAACACAGCUCUUAAGAAACUAGUCAAGAAAUCCCCCGCCUUCUGUGGAUCCAAAGAUUCACUCCUGUGUUCGCAAGGGCUGCAUCCACUCCUUAUUCCGGUCCAGCGCAUCCAUUCCAUAUUCCUUAUAAUUUAGGCAAAUACUUUUAAAUCGACAACGAUCAUGUUCACAUCAGCUCUCUCCCGUUCACUACACGUAAUCAACUGCUAACAUUCCACUCUAAGUAAUAUCUGUCGUUGGUGUAGCGUUGUAUAAUAGCCCACGCACUAUCCACGGAACUUGGCAGCAGUAUCUCCACACAGGAUUUCAUGGAAUUCACUUUGUGCACGUGGUCUGAGCCGAUGUUUAACCAAAGCAUAUUUAUCAGCCAAGUGUAGCAUGUUACGCCACUGACCAGGUUGGUCGUGAUAAGGCCUAUCCGCUCCCUGAAUCAGGCGAAUAGCAAACCAAUGCUUUGAACUAGAGACCUUCGAAGCUCGAGUAUGUGCGUGAUACAUUACACAUACUGAUAGUCAUGUACUGUAAUUAACUGGUAAAACAUAUAAUGCCUGUAAGAAUCGAAGAAUGUCGUAGUGGGAGUAGGUAAGGCCUAGAUUAAAUAAAAUGUUAAUCUUCCCUC